rnacentral:lncRNA from 1 species
CUUAUCAUUGACGUGUAAAAUUUAUAUAAGUGGAAUAAGACUUGAACAACGUCCUAUAUAUUAAUUUAUACAUCCAUCCAUGCAUUGGAAAAGAAUACCUUGCUAAUAAUUUAUACAUUUAAUUCAUUUAAAGUCUAAAUACAGUUUCCUAACUAGGCCAGAAUCAAAACUACACCAGAAAAUUUGUAGACUUCACGUUCCAAGGUUCAAAACUGAUUUUUAACACCUAAACCUCAUUGCACCAAGGCCAAUAAAAC